rnacentral:rRNA from 1 species
GACGAACGCUGGCGGCGUGCUUAACACAUGCAAGUCGAACGGAAAGGCCCUGCUUUUGUGGGGUGCUCGAGUGGCGAACGGGUGAGUAACACGUGAGUAACCUGCCCUUGACUUUGGGAUAACUUCAGGAAACUGGGGCUAAUACCGGGUAGGAGCUCCUGCUGCAUGGUGGGGGUUGGAAAGUUUCGGCGGUUGGGGAUGGACUCGCGGCUUAUCAGCUUGUUGGUGGGGUAGUGGCUUACCAAGGCUUUGACGGGUAGCCGGCCUGAGAGGGUGACCGGCCACAUUGGGACUGAGAUACGGCCCAGACUCCUACGGGAGGCAGCAGUGGGGAAUAUUGCACAAUGGGCGGAAGCCUGAUGCAGCAACGCCGCGUGCGGGAUGACGGCCUUCGGGUUGUAAACCGCUUUCGCCUGUGACGAAGCGUGAGUGACGGUAAUGGGGAAAGAAGCACCGGCUAACUACGU